rnacentral:rRNA from 1 species
GGAAUUACUGGGCGUAAAGGGCGCGUAGGCGGUGCGGUAAGUUAGGCGUGAAAGGCCCGGGCUCAACCCAGAGACGCCACCCGAUACUGCCGUGACUCGAGUCCGGUAGGGGAGCAUGGAAUUCCUGGUGUAGCGGUGAAAUGCGCAGAUAUCAGGAGGAACACCAGUGGCGAAGGCGGUGCUCUGGGCCGGUACUGACGCUGAGGAGCGAAAGCGUGGGUAGCAAACAG